rnacentral:rRNA from 1 species
GAUGAACGCUGGCGGCGUGCCUAAUACAUGCAAGUCGAGCGAACGGACGAGAAGCUUGCUUCUCUGAUGUUAGCGGCGGACGGGUGAGUAACACGUGGAUAACCUACCUAUAAGACUGGGAUAACUUCGGGAAGCCGGAGCUAAUACCGGAUAAUAUUUUGAACCGCAUGGUUCAAAAGUGAAAGACGGUCUUGCUGUCACUUAUAGAUGGAUCCGAGCUGCAUUAGCUAGUUGGUAAGGUAACGGCUUACCAAGGCAACGAUGCAUAGCCGACCUGAGAGGGUGAUCGGCCACACUGGAACUGAGACACGGUCCAGACUCCUACGGGAGGCAGCAGUAGGGAAUCUUCCGCAAUGGGCGAAAGCCUGACGGAGCAACGCCGCGUGAGUGAUGAAGGUCUUCGGAUCGUAAAACUCUGUUAUUAGGGAAGAACAUAUGUGUAAGUAACCGUGCACAUCUUGACGGUACCUAAUCAGAAAGCAACGGCUAACUACGUG